CCGUCCGUCCUUUUUUCCCUGCAGACGACUGUGGUGCAGACUCGGCAGCACUCUCAGGGCUGGGCAGGCAGACAGCGAUUAUCAUCGCCCCUGCUUUCAUCCAUUAGCGCGGUGUUAGCAGGACACCACUUUAGAAGAAGAAUCACCUCUGGAUAAAUCAUCUGCUCAGGUAACAGGUGGGACAUGGUGGCUCUGCCUGCAAUGCCAGCACUGAGAGGCUGAGGCAAGAGGAUCACUGUGAGUUCAAGGCCAUCCUGGGCUACAUUGUGAGUUUACAGCCAGCCUGAACCCUGUCUCCAAACCCUGUCUCCAAAAAGUAAUAAUAAUAAUAAUAAAUAAAAAAACAAAAAAGUGGCUAUAGAUGGCUGUGCUUAUAAAAUAUAAAUACAGACUUUUAAUUUCUUGAUAAUAUAAAUUCACAGUAAUAUGUUUUCUUUUAAGCAAAGGAUAUAGUGUGUAAUUUAAGAAUGCACCAAGAUAUUUUAAGACAGUCUUCUUUGCUAACUGACUGAUUAGGUUUGUGAACUGCACAUAAUUUUUUUUCAGCGAAUUUCCUUCAAAAUUUGAGGAGAAAAAAUACAAAGUAAUUAGUACAUAGAUGUUCAAAUAGUAAAACAGAACAUCAACACUGCUUAUGGGAAUAAAAUCAUCCACCAAUUUCUACUUUGUGGUUGCAAACUGGUCAAAUAAUUUAAAGGUAUAUUUUCUGGAGUAUACAUAAUGAAAAGUAAUCAGUUCUUUGUUUCUUUAGAACUCUUGAUGAACAUAUAUACAUUUGUAAUAUACACAUAUUUACAUAUGUGCCUGAUUAUAUGAUUUAGGUGUUGUCAAAGUGGCUGUUAAGAUAUCUAUAUGUCUAAAGAGUUUGUUUGCUAUAUUGGUCUUACUCAAAAUAUGUUUUGAAAUGCACAAAACAACAAUACACAGAAUUUCUAUGCCUCUUUCAGAAUACUGCAGCAACCUGCAAAUCCGCUUGUUUUUAGCUGUAGACUUUAAGAGAAGUCUAGUUAGAUAAACUCCAGCAAGACCUGGUGCAGGGAAGGGAGGAUGAAAAGUGGGGAAUUCAUGAUGGGCCUUGAAGGUCGCGGGAUUGAAGGGAGGGAUGAGGUGCU